rnacentral:rRNA from 1 species
GACGAACGCUGGCGGCGUGCUUAACACAUGCAAGUCGAACGAAGUGGCGAACGGGUGAGUAACGCGUAAUCAACCUGCCCUUCAGAGGGGGACAACAGUUGGAAACGACUGCUAAUACCGCAUACUGAAGGAGGGGAUUGCGUCUGAUUAGCUAGUUGGAGGGGGAACGGCCCACCAAGGCGAUGAUCAGUAGCCGGUCUGGGAGGGUGAACGGCCAAAUUGGGACCGGGAAACGGCCCAAACUCCUACGGGGGGGAGCAGGGGGGAAUCAUCCGCAAUGGGCGAAAGUCUGACGGAGCAACGCCGCGUGAGUGAUGACGGCCUUCGGGUUGUAAAGCUCUGUUAAGCGGGACGCGGUACCAGAAUAGAAAGCCACGGCUAACUACGUGCCAGCAGCCGCGGUAAUAC